AGAAACACAGUGAACAGAUGAAUCUAUUCAGCCAGAUAUUCCUCCAGUAGAUCUCUCCCCUCAUGGAGCACCACGGCAGGGAGGAGAUGGACUCAAAAGAGGAAAGUCCUCAGGUGUGGGCUGACUCUGCUGAGCAGGAACAGAAUACUGCUCAGGUGCACUUUGUCCCUGAGGGGGGGACAGUGGCACAGAUUGUGUACAGCGAUGAGCAGGACCGUCCCUCGCAGCAGGUGGUCUACACGGCGGAUGGCACCUCCUACACCUCCGUGGACACCUCGGAGCACACGCUCGUUUACAUCCAUCCCGUGGAAGCUACGCAGACUCUGUUUACAGAUCCGUCCCAAGUGGCUUACGUCCAACAGGAUGCCACCACCCAGCAGGUAACUGUGCUCUUGCCUGCUGCUGCUCAGAGCAUGAAUCCCACCAACCUGUCCGUGCUCGGCAACGUUGCCGAAUCCCCCCAGCAAAUGGCUCUGGAGCAGGGUCCACAAGCAGAUAGAGCAUCGUUACCGGUGCAUAACCAGGUGUUACCUCCUAUGGAGGCAGUGGAUGGUUCUGACCCUUUAGCACCUCUGCAGAAUCAAAUGGGAAGGAUGGAAACAAAAGAGGAAGAUGACGAGGAUGAAGAUGAGGAUGAAGACGGGGAAGACACUGACAUGGAUGAAUGGGAACCAGAUCCACCUCGACCCUUUGAUCCCAAUGAUUUGUGGUGUGAAGAGUGUAAUAACGCGCAUCCCUCUGUGUGUCCAAAACACGGACCUUUGCAUCCAAUCCCAAAUCGGCCUGUGCUGACCAGGGCGAGAGCCAGCCUCCCCUUGGUGCUCUAUAUAGACAGGUUUUUGGGAGGUGUGUUCUCCAAAAGGCGUAUCCCAAAACGCACGCAGUUUGGACCUGUGGAAGGACCCCUGGUUAGACAAACUGAACUCAAAGACUGCUACAUCCAUUUGAAGGUUUCUCUUGAUAAGGGUGACAGAAAAGACAGAGACUUGCAAGAGGACCUGUGGUUUGAACUUUCUAGCGAGGCUCUUUGUAACUGGAUGAUGUUUGUGCGUCCAGCUCAAAACCAUUUGGAGCAGAACCUGGUAGCGUAUCAGUACGGCCACCAUAUUUAUUACACAACCAUUAAAAACGUGGAGCCCAAGCAGGAACUCAAGGUGUGGUAUGCUGCCUCUUACGCAGAGUUUGUGAACCAGAAGAUCCAUGACAUAUCUGAGGAGGAAAGGAAGGUUCUCAGAGAGCAAGAGAAGAACUGGCCGUGUUACGAGUGCAAUCGUCGUUUCAUGAGCUCAGAGCAACUCCAGCAGCACCUCAACUCCCAUGAUGAGAAGCUGGACUUCUUCAGCAGAGCCAGAGGCCGAGGUCGUGGGCGAGGAAAGAGGAGGUUUGGACCAGGCAGACGCCCGGGGCGCCCUCCCAAAUUCAUGCGUAUGGAAGUAACCAGUGAAAAUGGGGAAAAGUGUGAAGAAGGGACGCAGGACUUGCUGCAUUUUUCCAGCAAGGGGCAGUUUGAUGAGGCCGGACAAGCCACACUGAAUGGGUUGGAGCAGCAGGAACAGACUCCAGUGCCAUCAGAGACGCAGUCGGCACUGGAGCAGCAGUCAGAAAACCACCCGCUACAAAUCCAGCCGCAGCAUGAUGAGAGCACGGUGCCUACGCAGAGCACCAUGACAGCAGAUGACAUGAGGCGAGCAAAGCGUAUCAGGAAUGCAGCUCUUCAGCACCUGUUCAUACGGAAAUCCUUUCGCCCGUUCAAAUGCCUCCAGUGUGGGAAGGCCUUCCGCGAAAAGGACAAACUGGAUCAGCACUUGCGGUUUCAUGGACGGGAAGGGAACUGCCCUUUGACUUGUGACAUCUGCAACAAGGGCUUCAUCAACAGCGGUGCGCUCGAGAGCCACAUGAAGUUCCACAUGGACCAGAAGACAUACUCCUGCAUUUUCUGUCCUGAGUCCUUUGACCGCUUGGAUCUGCUUAAAGAUCACGUGGCCAUCCACGUCAAUGAUGGCUAUUUCACCUGCCCUACCUGCAAAAAACGCUUUCCGGAUUUUAUCCAGGUCAAGAAACACGUACGCAGUUUCCAUUCAGAAAAGAUUUACCAGUGUACAGAAUGUGACAAGGCUUUCUGCCGUCCUGACAAGCUGCGACUCCAUAUGUUGCGACACUCAGACCGCAAAGACUUCCUGUGCUCCACGUGUGGCAAGCAGUUCAAGAGGAAAGACAAACUGCGAGAGCACAUGCAGAGGAUGCACAACCCAGAGAGGGAGGCCAAGAAAGCUGAUCGAAUCAGCCGCUCAAAAACGUUCAAGCCUCGGAUAGCUUCCACUGACUACGAAAGCUUCAUGUUCAAGUGCCGACUCUGUAUGAUGGGUUUCCGCCGGAGGGGGAUGUUGGUGAAUCAUUUAUCAAAGAGACAUCCAGACAUGAAAAUAGAAGAGGUGCCAGAGCUCACGUUGCCAAUCAUCAAACCCAACAGAGAUUAUUUCUGUCAGUACUGUGAUAAGGUGUACAAGAGUGCCAGCAAACGCAAAGCACACAUCCUGAAGAACCAUCCUGGUGCUGAGCUACCUCCAAGCAUCCGGAAGCUGCGCCCUGCGGGUCCAGGAGAGCCGGAUCCCAUGCUGAGCACCCACACCCAGCUGACAGGCACCAUAGCCACCCCUCCAGUCUGCUGUCCUCACUGUUCCAAGCAGUACAGCAGUAAGACGAAGAUGGUACAACACAUUCGCAAAAAGCACCCGGAGUUUGCUCAGCUCCCUAACACAAUACAUGCCCCGCUGGCGACAGCUGUCAUCAGUUCCGCUCCUGCCGUUCUAACCACCGACAGCACUACCGGAGAGACUGUUGUGACAACAGAUUUACUGACACAGGCAAUGACGGAGAUAUCCCAGACCCUCACAACAGACUAUCGAACUCCCCAGGGAGAUUACCAGCGAAUCCAGUACAUCCCUGUGUCUCAAUCCACAACUGGCUUGCAGCAGCCUCAGCACAUACAGCUGCAGGUUGUUCAAGUGGCCCAGGCUACCUCACCUCACCAGUCCCAGCACUCCACAGUGGACGUUGGGCAGCUUCAUGACCCCCAGACAUACACCCAGCAUGCUAUCCAGGUGCAGCACAUCCAGGUCACAGAGCCAUCGCCAGCAACUCAGUCGUCCUCGCAGGUUGGGGGUCAGCCUUUGAGUCCCUCCUCACAACAAUCUCAGCAGGAACUCAGCCCCUCACAGAUGCAGACAACUACAUCGACACCAAACCAAGCCCUCCAGCAGCAGCAAGGAUCUUCAGUCCAGCACACGUAUCUUCCCAGCACGUGGAACUCAUUUCGGAGCUAUUCAUCUGAGAUUCAGAUGAUGACCAUUCCCCAAGGCCAGUACGUGAUCACAGAGACCGCUGUAGGUACACCGGUCACCACUGUCAACACAGGGCAAGUGAAAGCAGUUACUCAGACUCACUAUGUGAUAUCUGAAGGUCAGCCUGAUCUGGAUGUCAAACAAAACUCUUCGCUCUCCAGCGAGGUACAGGUCGGCGUUUCCCAGCCACCAGCCCACACGGAUACCUUGGAAUCGCAAACGAGCAGCCAGCAGCAAACCACCCAGUACAUCAUCACUACAACCACCAACGGGAACGGCGGCAGUGAAGUGCACAUCACUAAACCAAGAACUUUCUCUGCAGAACACGAAUGAAGAAGCCUCGCGGUGUCACUUGCUUGUACUUGUCACCUCCCCCGAAAGCCCAGAUAUAUGGGUAUCCUGGAGCUCAAUAUGUUUUAAAGUAUAUGCUCACUUAACUUCAACUAAAAUCUUGGAGCUCUUCUUAAUGCUUUAAGAGGGUUUAAGUCCCCGGUGACCACGAAGACGUACCCUCAAAAUCCUUCCGGGAUGCUAUUUUAUGCAGCUUUUAACAAAAAGGACAAGAGGAGAAGUGAAACCUCUGCUUGCUCUGGACUUUAUUUUUGGCAUGUCUGCUGACCCCUAUUUUUCCUUUUUGGAAGUGUCUCCAGUAAACAACUUUUUAUUUCAAUUGUAUGGGGAAAAAGCUUGCCUAACUGAAAGCUAACGGGCAGAUUGUCGUAUGUAUAUUUUUAAUAGGAGCCGUUAAACAGGAGGACAUCGUGUAAAUUGCCAGAAUAUGGCAGAACUGCUUCCUGUGUCUUUGUUUCAGCAGCCAAGGUGAAAGGGAAUAUAGCAGCUCCAUGCGAGCAGACUGCCUGGAGAAAAAGAGCAGCAGCAAAGCGGUGGCUCCUUCCGUACGUGUGCGGGGAUGGAUGUAACAAUGAAGCUGUGAAGAUGUGCCGAAGCAGUCCAUUAAAUUAUUAUUUUUCCAGCCCUCCAGAACUGUUUACAUGCUGUCUGCCCUGCCCUAUUUUACCAAGCAGUUCCAGAAAGAAGGAUAAGUGCAGUCUUAAACCCGUGUCAUGCGGAGCAAACUGACUGAAAUCAUAGUAGCGCGUCUGGUUGGUUGGUUAUUUAAUGCAUUCUGGUAUUUGCAAGACUACAACUCCAUUGACUCCUGAUGGGAUAUACAGUGUGUGUCUAAACCUCCAUUCGCUGCCUGAAAACUCAUCCCAGAAUGUCUGUGCGUAAUAAGAUACAUUUAUUUAUAAAACAAAAGCAAAGAAGGAUGUUUUGUCUGAAUGGCCCUUGAGACUGAAGAACUGAGAGAGGGGUUUUUUUUGAUUCGUUUUCUCUUGUGCUGCACGGAGUGUGAACGCGGGACUCCUUUGCAUAAGUACUCCCGCAGAUUUAGAUGAGGAUUACCCGUGUGAGUAAGCGGUACAGGUGUUUACAGGUUGUGGUAUCGGGCCUCAUGCAGUUAAAGCUCUUAGACGUGAGAGAACUUCACACUCGGACUGGACAAGAGGAAGUCUGGUUCCUUGCGGGCGAAGCCUGGUAGCAGGUAUUGCUUUGGUAAUUAACACCUCUGUUAAUAUGGCGUGGAAAUAGUGACCGUGUGUGUAAAAUGAAUCAGAUUUGAAAACACCGGCCAGCUCAGUACUGUUUUGAGGUAGCUUUGAAGUGACUUGCCAAAACGUGGAUUAAUUUGUUCCUGGGAUUUCGCUUCUCUUGCUGUACCACCGUACUGGGGCAUUAACGAGAUCGGGAAAGUUAAUGAGGACCGGAGCUCCCGUUUAGUCAAAUGCAGUGAUGAGUGUCGUGAAAUUCGGUGGAUUUGGGAGCCCAUCGACUUUAGCAGCCUGGCCAAGCGACUGCAGUUCCCGCGAACUCAUUUGGAGUCGUGUUGCUGAGGGCUUCUGAAUUACGACGUUGGGUGUUGCGAUGAUGGUGGUGUGGGAGAAGGGAGAUUUUUGUCUUGGCUUUCUUCGGGCUGCUAGGUGAUGUAAUAACGAGUCAAAAAUGGUAGGAGUUAGUAGGAGAAUAGGAGACUUGAAAAUGGGAUGUUCCAGGUGGAUACUGCCCUACAGGAGCAGUUUUAAAGUCUUAAAAGGUCUAUAGUCUUUAUAGAUGGACAUCAAACUGAUUCCCCUUAACGAUAUUGCAGAUGUGGGGUUUGAAGAAUAUUUUGCUCCAUUCACCUUUGUUAGAAAGGAUCACAGAACGAGGACGAUUGUACCGGUUAUUUAAAGCUGAAAACUAGAAAGUGUUCCAGAAAACAAUUUUAAAACUGCUUCUUGGAACUCAAAUCUUCCUUAUCAAAGUUUUCUGCUCUGUCCCACAGCAACAGCAGUGUACUCGGGCCAUCAGCCUGACACCCGCGUUACCGAUUCACCGUGUCCCAAGUUAAACAAAUGCCUCGUGGCACAAGAAGCAUCCCUGGAAAUAGAAGUAUUAUGAAUUUUCCUUCCAAAGUAAGGAACUACAGUGAUUGCACCGAUGGCAGGGGCCUGCUUUUAGAAAGACGACAAAAAAAAAAAACCCGAACAAAAAAAAAGACAACAGUUUGCAUGGAUUUCUUCCGAUUUCUGCAGUGCAGAAGGUAGAGGAUUUAUUAUUAUUUUUAAACCAGAGCAACCCAAACAUCUCUCUCAAGUAAUGUCCCACAGGAGCUCAGCUCUGGAGCCCUCUCGGUUUUCUGCAAGGGCCAAUAUUUUGCUCAAAGAUCGGCAGCGCUGCGGGCUCCUUGGAGGCCUAGUGCUGUUCCUGGUAGGUGUUUUGGGUCUGAUUCUGUAUUUUCCUGGAGGGGAAAGAAAAACAAACAAACAAACAAAAAACAACCCACUACAGAACCAAGCACCCUGAAUUUGCAUCUCUCGGACUGCUCGGGCUGUUUUGCUCUGCCCCUUCUCUUAUUUAACUGUGUAUGUUUGUUGUACAUUCAGUGACUGUUACUGUGUUCAUGGUCUCGUGCAACCUGG